UGGGAACGUGCCUUUUGGUUCGGAACAACCCAGGGAAACUUGGGCUAAUACCGGAUAAGCCCUUACGGGGAAAGAUUUAUCGCCAAAAGAUCGGCCCGCGUCUGAUUAGCUAGUUGGUGGGGUAAUGGCCCACCAAGGCUACGAUCAGUAGCUGGUCUGAGAGGAUGAUCAGCCACAUUGGGGCUGAGACACGGCCCAAACUCCUACGGGAGGCAG
rnacentral:rRNA from 1 species